UCUGUCAUGCAAGGGGAUUGACCUGGCUCUGGGGAGUAUCUGCACAUCUGUGAGAAACUCUUUUCCUCUUUCACUGUGUCUUUGGAAGAAAAGAAUGGAGGACAGGACUGGGUGAGGAAGAAGGUUUGACUGAAAACAAAGGCAAGGUCAGAGUGUGGCUCCACUGUGUGGGCUCCCAGCAGAGCAGGAGGUAGCUGGCGUGAAAGCCUGGUCUGUACCAUAAAGAGGCAUGGAGGACACCUGAAAAGGAAGUUCUAACAAGAAAAAAGAAAGUUGGAAGGACCCAGAGGUUUAAGGCGUAACCCUUUGGAAACAAGAGGUCAGCUAAAUCUGUAUUAAAGGCUGCUCAAGGAGAAUUUAGCUGGCAACAGAUUUACUUAAAUACCAUCACCUGGACCCUUAUCAGUAGAUGCAGCUGGGGAAAACCUCAGGGAACUUGUCUGGCCCUUCUUAUGCUUCUAGGGUGCUGAUGGUGUUCAUUGAGUUGUGUUCCCCAGGGAACUGCAGUAAUGUAGUGAGAUAAUAGUGAACAAGAAGAAAAUAAUAAAGAAAAUGAGCAUUGUGGAGUUAAACAGAAAAACAUUCUAUGAUUCUCCAAGGGUGGAAAAGUAGACCAGAUUAUUUCCUCAAUUUAUUCAGAAGAGGAAAAAAGAAACCUACCAUAGAACAUUGGCUACCAACUGUUUUCUUGGAUAUCUUCAGGGAAAAAUGGAGAAAAGGUCCCUAUCAAUAGCACACCAGUUUUACAUACUGGCUGUACAGCCCAGGAAAUUUCCUGUUAAGAGGGAAUAAGAUCACAACAAAUGAUGCAGCCCACAAGCACAAAGUGCUCAUGGGAGAGGAAGCAAAAGGUGCUCCAAAGAUGUCCACAUAGACAAAGCACCUCCUUGCCUCCC